rnacentral:rRNA from 1 species
GGACGAACGCUGGCGGCGUGCUUAACACAUGCAAGUCGAACGGAAAGGCCCUGCUUGCAGGGUACUCGAGUGGCGAACGGGUGAGUAACACGUGGGUGAUCUGCCCUGCACUUCGGGAUAAGCCUGGGAAACUGGGUCUAAUACCGGAUAGGAGCCAUUUUUAGUGUGAUGGUUGGAAAGUUUUUUCGGUGUAGGAUGAGCUCGCGGCCUAUCAGCUUGUUGGUGGGGUAAUGGCCUACCAAGGCGGCGACGGGUAGCCGGCCUGAGAGGGUGGACGGCCACAUUGGGACUGAGAUACGGCCCAGACUCCUACGGGAGGCAGCAGUGGGGAAUAUUGCACAAUGGGCGCAAGCCUGAUGCAGCGACGCCGCGUGGGGGAUGACGGCCUUCGGGUUGUAAACUCCUUUCGCUAGGGACGAAGCUUUUUGUGACGGUACCUAGAGAAGAAGCACCGGCUAACUACGUG